rnacentral:rRNA from 1 species
UACGUAGGGUGCAAGCGUUGUCCGGAAUUAUUGGGCGUAAAGAGCUCGUAGGCGGUUUGUUGCGUCGGCUGUGAAAUCCCGAGGCUCAACCUCGGGUCUGCAGUCGAUACGAGCAAACUAGAGUGUUGCAGGGGAGACUGGAAUUCCUGGUGUAGCGGUGAAAUGCGUAGAUAUCAGGAGGAACACCGGUGGCGAAGGCGGCUUUCUGGACAGUAACUGACGCUGAGGCGCGAAAGCUAGGGGAGCAAACAGG